rnacentral:rRNA from 1 species
ACUCAAAGGAAUUGACGGGGGCUCACACAAGCGGUGGAGCAUGUGGCUUAAUUCGAGGCUACGCGCAGAACCUUAUCCCGGGCUUGACAUGCACGGAUUAACGCGCGGAAACGCGCGCCACGCCGCGAGGUGGAACGUGCACAGGUGCUGCAUGGCUGUCGUCAGCUCGUGUCGUGAGAUGUUGGGUUAAGUCCCGUAACGAGCGAAACCCCUGCGCCUAGUUGCCAGCGCGUCACGGCGGGCACUCUAGGCGGACCGCCGGCGUCAAGCCGGAGGAAGGCGGGGACGACGUCAAGUCCUCAUGGCCCUUAUGCCCGGGGCUGCACACGUGCUACAAUGGGCCGGACAGAGCGUCGCCACCUCGCAAGGGGGAGCUAAUCGCCCAAACCGGCCCCCAGUUCGGAUCGCGGGCUGCAACCCGCCCGCGUGAAGCCGGAAUCGCUAGUAAUCGCGGAUCAGCACUGCCGCGGUGAAUGGGUUCCUGAGCCUUGCACACACCGCCCGU